GUCUACGGCCAUACCACCCUUAACGCGCCUGAUCUCGUCUGAUCUCGGAAGCUAAGCAGGGUCGGACCUGGUUAGUACUUGGAUGGAAGAAAACAGCGUAAAAC
rnacentral:rRNA from 1 species